rnacentral:rRNA from 1 species
AGUAACGGCGAGUGAAGAGGGAAGAGCCCAAGAUUGAAAGCUGGCGUCUUCGGCGUCCGCAUUGUAAUCUCAAGAAGUGUUUUCCGCUUCGGACCAUGCCUAAGUCCCUUGGAAAAGGGCAUCAUAGAGGGUGAUAAUCCCGUACAUGGCAUGGAGCGCCCGAAGCUUUGUGAUACGCUUUCUAAGAGUCGAGUUGUUUGGGAAUGCAGCUCAAAAUGGGUGGUAAAUGCCAUCUAAGGCUAAAUAUUGGGGAGAGACCGAUAGCGAACAAGUACAGUGAUGGAAAGAUGAAAAGAACUUUGAAAAGAGAGUUAAACAGUACGUGAAAUUGCCAAAAGGGAAGGGUAGGAGGUCAGAGAUGCGGCCUGGGAUUCAGCCUUGCUUUUGCUUGGUGUUUUUCCUAGAUUGCAGGCCAACGUCGGUUUUGGGCACUGGAGAAGGGUAGGAGGAACGUGGCACCUCUCGGGGUGUGUUAUAGCCUCCUACUGGAUACAGCGACCGAGACCGAGGACAGCAGCGUACUCGCAAGAGCGGGCCUUCGGGCACCUUUACGCUUAGGGCGUUGGCAUAAUGGCCCUCUACCACCCGUCUG